rnacentral:tRNA from 1 species
GGUGGUAUAACUUAACGGCAGAGCACAUACUUAGCAUGCACAAGGUCCUGGGUUCAAUCCCCAGCACCUCCA